AGAACUUCUUGUGGGCAAUCCAACUGAGUCUUGAAGAUUUUGCUGACUUGUCCUGAUCUUCUGAAUCCUGCUGAUUCAUGUUGCUCCUUGGUGUUGGCCUUUGGACUGGACUGCUGGUAUCCUGAGGAUUUGGUUUGACAGAAAGCUAUGAGGCAGGAAACAGCUGGGCACCUGAGCAGGAGCAGUGAAUGAAGCACCUGAGGGAGGGGCAGACCCACCUUCUGGGAGGCCAGUGGAUCAAGAGACACCCAAGGCUGCAUCCCACCCAGGAUCUGCCUCUGACAGUCAGUGAAGGAACCAAGGCAAGUGUGUGUUCAGUGUGAAAGGAGCAGCACAAACAACUGCAAAGAAGGGUCGGAGCUCUCAGCUCCCAUGAGUGCCUAAGAAAAAUAAGUACUCUUGGAAGGGGAUUAAGGGUUCCCACAGAAAGCAUUAUCUGUUUUCUUUGGACAUAUUCUGUCAGUGGUUAAUGUGAUGUGGAUUCGAGUACCACACUAGAAACAGUGACAGAAAAUAUUGAUGCUACAACCUGUGCAAAGCAUUAACCAAACACGAGUUCAUAUCUUAACGUUCCUGUAAGUGGUAGCUUUUGU